UUUUCUCUCUUCUGCUCUCAGCCUCUCUUCUUUUUCUCUCCACCGAUGAAACCAGAUCGAAUUUCUGCUCUCAGCCUCUCAGCCGAUGAAACCAGAUCGAGUUUGAUCAAAUUUCUGCUCUCAGCAUCUUUUCUACUUUGUUUAAUUUAGUUAUCUAUUUUUGGUUUUGUUUUAGGGUUUCAAAAUGAUCUUCUCCGCGUUUAAGACCAGCAGAUUUCUUCUUCUCCGCGUUUAAGACCGGAAAAUUUCUUCUUCUCCGCGUUUCUGCAUGAUGCAAUAAUAUUAGGUAAUCCCCAACUGAGUCUGAUUUAAGCCUAGAAUCGAGGAAGAUAUGAGUUUGGCGGGAUUUGGUUGUAUUUGUGAAGCUUUCUGUUGAUGCUGGAUUUAACGAGUGAAGAAUAAGCUCUUCAAAAAGAAGAGGUUUUGAGUCACAUCAAUCAGAUAUUCUGGGUUAUUGAGGAUCUGUAUGAUGAGCUUGUUAUGUGAACUUAAAGCAGUAUGUGGAUCCGAUGAUUCAAUGGAACUAUAUCUUCCAACACUAAGUGAUUUACCUGCACCCUUUACUCCUGCAUUAGAACUUGAAUUUGAUGUAUUUGACUUUGGUCAGCGGGCUCUCAAUGUGCUCGAAAGGAUGUACCCUGAACACGAAAACCUUCGGGAUAAGAAAUUAAAUGUUUCAAACUCGUCGUCAUCUAAAUAGCUGGGAUGUCACUGUGGAUGGUAGCACAUGGUGCUCAGCGAGUGAUGAUGAUACACAAUCACCCAUGGAGUGUACUUUUCAGAUUUGGGUUUCUUGUUCAAUUGAUUAUGAGAUUUGGGGUUCUGAUUUAGGUCAUUUUAUUCAGAUUUCUUUUCCGAUUGGAAUGAAGUUGAUAAGUUCGCUGAGAACCCACAAGGGGUUGGGAUUGAUUCUUGAUAGACACAUUUUUGUGUCUGAUAUAAUCUCAAUUGUAUAUAUUGUUAGUGCUCGAUUUUGUAUUUAUUAUGGCUUUUUGUGUCUUUAUAGGUGUUUUUAAAGAAAUAAGCUUUUGCGGGAAAAUUGGCUCGAAAAGUGGUACUUGCGCUCGUGAGAGAAAAUCACUAAAGGCACCCCUUAUUUGGAUAAGGGGCACUCAUCCUCUUUGUUUGAAAUUUAAAUUUUGGCGGGAAAUCAAGUUCAGACACUGACAGAUUUGGACUUGAGUUUUGGAGCUGUUGUAGAGAGAUUCAAUCGCCCAGUUGUAUUUAUUUAGGACUGUUAAUGCUAAACAGGUCCAGUAUAAGCCAUUACUUCGACUAAAUUUGGAUAGAUAUCGGUUGGAAGCAAAACAGGGAAGUAAAGUUACUCGGGUUGUUCGAGUUAUUUUUGGGAAGAUUUUGUUGGAGAAUUUCGAGAGAUUUAGAUGGAGUUUUUGUCGCAGUUCGAUUGGGAAUAUCCUGUUAGGUUAAAACAGCAUAGGUACUUGUCUCGGAUUCGAAAAAAGAAAGGAAGAAACGUCACUUGGAAGAAAACAGAGGUGGAGAAUAUCACGGGUUAUUCGGCGUAUCUUAGGAAGUUAUCUGGUGGAUUUGGAGAAUAUCUUCCCUUGGAGAUUUAAUUCUAUCAUUAAAAGAGUCAAUACCAACUCAGUUGACGCAUAAAAAAAAUAAUAAAAAGCGAAGAAAUCCCGGAACUUGCGGUGGAGGAGAAAGAUUUUCUCGGGACAUUGUGGCUGUUGUGUAUAAAUAGGAGGAUAGAAGACCUAAACAAAAAAAAAAGAGGAGUUUGGGGCCUUUACG